rnacentral:rRNA from 1 species
UACGAAGGGGGCAAGCGUUGUUCGGAAUGACUGGGCGUAAAGGGCGCGUAGGCGGUUCGUUGCGUCAGAUGUGAAAGCCCCGGGCUCAACCUGGGAACUGCAUUUGAUACGGGCGGGCUUGAAUCCAAGAGAGGGUGGUGGAAUUCCCAGUGUAGAGGUGAAAUUCGUAGAUAUUGGGAAGAACACCAGUGGCGUAAGGCGGCCACCUGGCUUGGUAUUGACGCU